rnacentral:lncRNA from 1 species
GUUCAAUAAGGCAUUGUUUACCAGGUGAGCGAUUCAGGCUCUUGAGAGCCUCUUGUUUCAUUUGUUUUUAUUUUAAGCAUUUUAUUUGCAUUUAAUUAGGGCCCUGCCUUUAGGCGGGUCGCCCUAUAGUGAUCAGUCUGUCCGUCCGUCCGUCCGUAACACUUUAACUUUGUGUCUGCUCCAUAUCUAGAGAACCAUUAUGAUUUCAUACUUUAUACUUUACAUGUUUAUUAACCACCACCAGAGGGCGUGUCAUGUUGUAUGUACAACUUCCUAGGUCAAAGGUCAAGGUCAAAAAACUUUGGUUUCAGUUGACAACCCUGUGUCCUGUGGUGAAGAUUGUGUCCGCUCUAUAUCUUGAGAACCGUUAUGAUUUCAAAGUUUAUACUUGACAUCCAUUUUAACCAAGACCAGAGGGUGUGUCAUGAUGUAUGUACAACUUCCUAGGUCAAAGGUCAAGGUCAAAAACUUUGGUUUCAGUUGACAACCCUGUGUCUUGUGGUGAAGAUCGUGUCCGCUCCAUAUCUAGAUAACCGUUAUGAUUUUAUACUUAAUACUUAACAUGUUUAUUAACCAACACCAGAGGGUGUGUCAUGAUAUAUGUACAACUUCCUAGGUCAAAGGUCAAGGUCAAAAACUUUGGUUUCAGUUGACAACCCUGUGUCCUGUGGUGAAGAUCGUGUCCGCUCCAUAUCUAGAUAACCGUUAUGAUUUCAAAGUUUAUACUUGACAUCCAUUUUAACCACCACCAGAGGGCGUGUCAUGAUGUAUGUACAACUUCCUAGGUCAAAGGUCAAGGUAAAAAAAACUUUGGUUUCAGUUGACAACCCUGUGUCCUGUGGUGAAGAUUGUGUCCGCUCUAUAUCUUGAGAACCGUUAUGAUUUCAAAGUUAAUACUUGACAUCCAUUUUAACCACCACCAGAGGGCGUGUCAUGAUGUAUGUACAACUUCCUAGGUCAAAGGUCAAGGUAAAAAAACUUUGGUUUCAGUUGACAACCCCAUGUCCAAUGAUAAAGAUACAAAUUUUUUACCACACAUUAUUAUCAGUAGGGCCCACAGAGAUGGCUCCCAUCUCAAUGAUAUCUAGUUCAAACUCCUUUGUAUUUCAUCAUGUGUUAGACAGUCAGAUUGUUAGAUUGUAUUUCUUAUAUCUUGUUUAGUCAUUUCAAAUUCAGAGGAGUGACUCAAUUGUUGUCAAAUAAUGGAAUUUUAUGUGACUGUCUAUACGCCAGCUAUAAAACAAGGUUUAUUAUAAACCAUUUUCUACCUAAGAAAAUGUCUGUACUAAGUCACUAAUAGGACAGUUGUUAUCCAUUCGUUUGAGCUUUGAUUUUGCCAUUUGAUGAGAGACUUACUGUUUUCAAUUUUCCUUUGAGAUAUCUGUAUUUCUGUUAUUUUACUUUUCACUGAAUAUUUGUCUACAUACUUAAACUUGAAGAACCAUAUCAUAUAAAAAUAGUAUGUAUGAAAAUAUCAUUUAGCCAUUUUAUUUAAGAUUUUUAGUAGAGACAAGUUAUUUGAAUAUGUUGAAUACAGUUUUAGUUUACUCCCUUUUUCACAUUAAAAGUUUUCUGAAAAUUUUGUAAUUUGCAUAUAUAUAUGUAAAAUAAGUUUUUACAUUUAUUCUACAUAUAACAUGGUCCUCUACUUUCCAGAUCAACAUAAAUGGUUAAGCUCAGUCACAUGUUAAAAAUAGAAACAUGUCUAAUAUCACUACACCAAGAUUUUUGGUUUUCACAUUUGGGUCCUAAACGGAUAUGUGUCAGAUAUCAGAAUACAGACAAGGUUAACUUAAUGACCCUUACACUGCAGCAGGGGCAUAACUAGCAUUGUAAAUUCAAAUGGCAUUAUUGGUCAGGGGCAUAACUAGCAUUGUAAAUUCUAAUGGCAUUAUUGGUUAACUUAAUGACCCUUACACUGCAGCAGGGGCAUAACUAUCAUUGUAAAUUCUAAUGGCAUUAUUGGUUUACAUUUUCCCCUAAAUUUGCAUUGAUUAACCUCACAUUUUUGUCUGUUUUUGAACUUUAAUAAAUGCAGCAUUAUUUCUGUAAUUUAUUUUUGAGUAUUUGUUUAUACAUUGUAUUGUCACCUAUUUUCAUUAACUUGUAAACAUUGAUUAGUUGAGGUUUAUAAGAGAACAUUAUUUUUAUGUCAUUACCGGUAAGAUAAAUAUUUAUUAAUAUGUAUAUUUAUUGUAAUAUUCGGCCAAUGUCGUUACUUUGUGUGAAACACAUUAAUCAGUCAAUAUAUGGUGCAGCAUAUUUUUAUAAAAUUGAAUAAAUGAUAUUUCCAACAGGACUACUAUUUUUUUUCUUCACUUUGUAAACUUUUGCCUUCUCUUAUUGCAGAAUUUUCUCAUAAAAAUGAUAGACCUGUUUGAUGGAAUCGACAG